rnacentral:rRNA from 1 species
GACGAACGCUGGCGGCGUGCCUAAUACAUGCAAGUAGAACGCUGAAGGAGGAGCUUGCUUCUCUGGAUGAGUUGCGAACGGGUGAGUAACGCGUAGGUAACCUGCCUGGUAGCGGGGGAUAACUAUUGGAAACGAUAGCUAAUACCGCAUAACAGUAGAUACUGCAUGAUAUCUGCUUAAAAGGUGCAAUUGCAUCACUACCAGAUGGACCUGCGUUGUAUUAGCUAGUUGGUGAGGUAACGGCUCACCAAGGCGACGAUACAUAGCCGACCUGAGAGGGUGAUCGGCCACACUGGGACUGAGACACGGCCCAGACUCCUACGGGAGGCAGCAGUAGGGAAUCUUCGGCAAUGGACGGAAGUCUGACCGAGCAACGCCGCGUGAGUGAAGAAGGUUUUCGGAUCGUAAAGCUCUGUUGUAAGAGAAGAACGAGUGUGAGAGUGGAAAGUUCACACUGUGACG